AUCAGUUUCAUUACCCGCAUUGAAGCCACCGUUAUGUGGAAAUGGGGUACUCGCGCAGGACUGUGAUGCCCGAGCUUCCUCGUUUCAAGUCGCCAUCUUUUAUACCGCACUUUACAUAAUUGCAAUAGGAAAUGGUGGAACCAAGCCUAACAUAUCAACACUGGGUGCUGAACAAUUCGACCGUUAUGAACCCAAAGAGAAGCUCCAAAAGUUAUCCUUCUUUAAUUGGUGGAUGUUUACCAUAUUCAUUGGAACACUUUUUGCAAACACGGUUGUCGUCUACGUUCAAGAUAAUGUUGGUUGGUCCCUCGGCUAUGGCCUUCCUACACUUGGAUUAGCCAUUUCAGUUUUAGUCUUCUUAGUUGGAACCCCUUUUUACAGACACAAGAUCCUGUCAGGAAGUCCUUUCACUCAUAUGGCUAUGGUUCUCGUUGCUGCUUUGCGAAAACGCAAAGUUAUCUUACCUGAUGAACCGAAAGAUCUUCACGAGUUGAGUCCCGAUGAAUAUACCAGUGCUCGGAAGUUCAGAAUUGACCACACACCAUCACUGAGUUCAGUUUUUCACAACCCUUUAGGAAAACUUGAUUUCAAAAUCACUGUUAUAAAAAAAGGUGCACUUUGUGUCCUUGAUCAAAGAGUCAAAGAGUGGACAGGAUUUACCAGGGAGGGUAAUCAGGCGGCCCAGGUAAAUCGGAUCGAGUUUGAUUUCGACGGCUGGGAAUGAUCGGUUAUGUUUCGUGUGGGUCGACAGAAGUAGGGCGGGGUGACAUAUUUGGUGCACAUAAAACGUUCUCUCUUUUUCUGCUGCUACGCUUAUUCUUCUAUCUCGCAGAAACUCUAGAUUUUUGAGAAUCUUUCGUUCAUACGGUCUGUGUGCUUGAUGUUUUCCGAAGAUUCAGGAGGCAAGGUUUAAUCAAAAAUACGAUGCAGAGGAUAGGAAUAGAAGCUAUAUCGAUUGGUCAUAGGUGCGAUGGGGGAUUUGGUAGAUGGUCAUAAUUGGUUUAUGUGGAAAAAGCUAAAGGGAGAUAGUGUAGAUCAUAAAGCUGCUUUUCCUCUAUUACCAUGCCUGAUCUCACCGCAUUAGCCUUAAUAGAAGCAGAGACCAUAAUGUGAUAUUGUGUUAAUAGUGUUCCAGGAUAUAUUCGAGUUUAUUGUGAUAUUGUUUUUGGCUUGAUUAUUUCAGGUACAGACUCUGCAGCAGGGCGAUGGAAUAUUACACCAUUAUCCAUAAUCAAGGAUGGAGACAACUUUUUGUUGGAUUUAACUCUUAACUCAAUGAAGGCUCUUCAAUUGCUGAUUAGGUAUUGACAAGCUUGCCAGGUGAAGCAUACCAAAAAGGUUGGCGUCUAUUCUGUAAUAGUCUGAGAAUUGAGUUGAAGAAGAGCGAAGUAAACAACUGUUGCACCCAGGGAAGAGAAAAAGCAUUGCAUUGUUCCCCUAAGAACAAUUGACAAUCUUACUUAGGGUAUUGUGAUCAAGUAUCUUUAUCAGAUUCUGCUUAUACUGCUGCUUACUGAGCAUGAAAGAGAACUUGGUGAAACAAAUGAAAAGAGUUAAAAACUGCAACAAAUUUGCAAGAGCUUCUGGAUAGUAUUGCAGAAGUUAUCUAUUCUUUUACUGUUUGUUCUGCUUGAGGUUAUUGAUGAUAUUUUAUUACCAAAGCAAGUUUUCAAUGCAUAGUCUAUCGGCAUA